GAAAUGCGAUAACUAGUGUGAAUUGCAGAAUUCCGUGAAUCAUCGAGUCUUUGAACGCACAUUGCGCCCCCUGGUAUUCCGGGGGGCAUGCCUGUCCGAGCGUCAUUGCUGCCCAUCAAGCACGGCUUGUGUGUUGGGUCGUCGUCCCCUCUCCGAGGGGGACGGGCCCCAAAGGCAGCGGCGGCACCGCGUCCGAUCCUCGAGCGUAUGGGGCUUUGUCACCCGCUCUGUAGGCCCGGCCGGCGCUUGCCGAACGCAAAUCAAUCUUUUUCCAGGUUGACCUCGGAUCAGGUAGGGAUACCCGCUGAACUUAAGC
rnacentral:misc_RNA from 1 species